CAGUCGCCGCGGGAAUACGUAGGGUGCAAGCGUUAAUCGGAAUUACUGGGCGUAAAGCGUGCGCAGGCGGUUAUAUAAGACAGAUGUGAAAUCCCCGGGCUCAACCUGGGACCUGCAUUUGUGACUGUAUAGCUAGAGUACGGUAGAGGGGGAUGGAAUUCCGCGUGUAGCAGUGAAAUGCGUAGAUAUGCGGAGGAACACCGAUGGCGAAGGCAAUCCCCUGGACCUGUACUGACGCUCAUGCACGAAAGCGUGGGGAGCAAACAGGAUUAGAUACCCCCGUAGUCCCUGUCUCUUAUAC
rnacentral:rRNA from 1 species